rnacentral:rRNA from 1 species
GACGAACGCUGGCGGCGUGCUUAACACAUGCAAGUCGAACGGAAAGGCCCUGCUUGCCGGGUACUCGAGUGGCGAACGGGUGAGUAACACGUGGGUGAUCUGCCCUGCACUUCGGGAUAAGCCUGGGAAACUGGGUCUAAUACCGGAUAGGAGCCAUUUUUAGUGUGAUGGUUGGAAAGUUUUUUCGGUGUAGGAUGGGCUCGCGGCCUAUCAGCUUGUUGGUGGGGUAAUGGCCUACCAAGGCGGCGACGGGUAGCCGGCCUGAGAGGGUGGACGGCCACAUUGGGACUGAGAUACGGCCCAGACUCCUACGGGAGGCAGCAGUGGGGAAUAUUGCACAAUGGGCGCAAGCCUGAUGCAGCGACGCCGCGUGGGGGAUGACGGCCUUCGGGUUGUAAACUCCUUUCGCUAGGGACGAAGCUUUUUGUGACGGUACCUAGAUAAGAAGCACCGGCUAACUACGUG